ACAGAGGUCUCGAGCGUUAAUCGGAGUCACUGGGCUUAAAGGGUGCGUAGGCGGGUCUGUAAGUGCCUUGUGAAAUCCCAUGGCUCAACCAUGGAAUUGCUCGGUAGACUGCAGGCCUUGAGGUCGGUAGGGGCAGCCGGAACUCUAGGUGGAGCGGUGAAAUGCGUAGAUAUCUAGAGGAACGCCGAAGGUGAAGGCAGGCUGCUGGGCCGAUUCUGACGCUGAGGCACGAAAGCGUGGGGAGCAAACGG
rnacentral:rRNA from 1 species